GCAGGCUCGGGAUCAUCGAAAAUUCCACGCAGGCCAGAGAAGGUGAAAAAGUUUCCAUCAAAAGUUGUGGAGUUCUGAGGGGCUAUGAAGUCUGUUAAGAUAUCUGGAUCGCUUGCUUGGACCAGCCAAGAAGUUGCGAAGGCAGCUAAAGGGAAGAACAAGAGAUGCUUGAGGAAGGUUGAGGCCAUUGUAAAUAGUGAUUUUGGUUUUCCUGAAUUCAAGAUAAGAAUUGUAGAAUACAAAAAGGCUUCUGAUGCUUGCUGGAUUUAUAUAGAUCAUAAACUAAGCAUUGUAGCAAGUUUGCCUGCCGGCUGGAUGGAUUU
rnacentral:misc_RNA from 1 species